rnacentral:rRNA from 1 species
CCCUACGGGGGGCAGCAGUGAGGAAUAUUGGUCAAUGGGCGCAAGCCUGAACCAGCCAAGUCGCGUGAGGGAAGACGGUCCUAUGGAUUGUAAACCUCUUUUGCCGGGGAGCAAUGCAGGCCUUGCGAGGCCUGAGGGAGAGUACCCGGAGAAAAAGCAUCGGCUAACUCCGUGCCAGCAGCCGCGGUAAUACGGAGGAUGCGAGCGUUAUCCGGAUUUAUUGGGUUUAAAGGGUGCGCAGGCGGAGGUGCAAGUCAGCGGUCAAAUUGCGGGGCUCAACCCCGUACUGCCGUUGAAACUGCAUC